UGCUGCUGGAGCCACCCAGAGGUGCCAGCUGUACCAGUGGCAAAGCCAGGAUGGGUAUUGGGGGCAGGGGCUGGCUAGGCACUGGCCCCAAGCUCACCAGAGGCCAUGGACACUGGGUGGAGCCAGAUGCUACCUGGCACAAGGAGCCCUGCUCUGAGCCAUGAGUCUCACUGUCCCUGGAACCAUGGGCCAACAUCGACAUGGGGGAGAGACCACAGGGGCCCACAGGACCACUGCUGCAGGCUCAUUGCCACCUGCUGCUGGAGCCACCCAGAGGUGCCAGCUGUACCAGUGGCAAAGCCAGGAUGGGUAUUGGGGGCAGGGGCUGGCUAGGCACUGGCCCCAAGCUCACCAGAGGCCAUGGACACUGGGUGGAGCCAGAUGCUACCUGGCACAAGGAGCCCUGCUCUGAGCCAUGAGUCUCACUGUCCCUGGAACCAUGGGCCAACAUCGACAUGGGGGAGAGACCACAGGGGCCCACAGGACCACUGCUGCAGGCUCAUUGCCACCUGCUGCUGGAGCCACCCAGAGGUGCCAGCUGUACCAGUGGCAAAGCCAGGAUGGGUAUUGGGGGCAGGGGCUGGCUAGGCACUGGCCCCAAGCUCACCAGAGGCCAUGGACACUGGGUGGAGCCAGAUGCUACCUGGCACAAGGAGCCCUGCUCUGAGCCAUGAGUCUCACUGUCCCUGGAACCAUGGGCCAACAUCGACAUGGGGGAGAGACCACAGGGGCCCACAGGACCACUGCUGCAGGCUCAUUGCCACCUGCUGCUGGAGCCACCCAGAGGUGCCAGCUGUACCAGUGGCAAAGCCAGGAUGGGUAUUGGGGGCAGGGGCUGGCUAGGCACUGGCCCCAAGCUCACCAGAGGCCAUGGACACUGGGUGGAGCCAGAUGCUACCUGGCACAAGGAGCCCUGCUCUGAGCCAUGAGUCUCACUGUCCCUGGAACCAUGGGCCAACAUCGACAUGGGGGAGAGACCACAGGGGCCCACAGGACCACUGCUGCAGGCUCAUUGCCACCUGCUGCUGGAGCCACCCAGAGGUGCCAGCUGUACCAGUGGCAAAGCCAGGAUGGGUAUUGGGGGCAGGGGCUGGCUAGGCACUGGCCCCAAGCUCACCAGAGGCCAUGGACACUGGGUGGAGCCAGAUGCUACCUGGCACAAGGAGCCCUGCUCUGAGCCAUGAGUCUCACUGUCCCUGGAACCAUGGGCCAACAUCGACAUGGGGGAGAGACCACAGGGGCCCACAGGACCACUGCUGCAGGCUCAUUGCCACCUGCUGCUGGAGCCACCCAGAGGUGCCAGCUGUACCAGUGGCAAAGCCAGGAUGGGUAUUGGGGGCAGGGGCUGGCUAGGCACUGGCCCCAAGCUCACCAGAGGCCAUGGACACUGGGUGGAGCCAGAUGCUACCUGGCACAAGGAGCCCUGCUCUGAGCCAUGAGUCUCACUGUCCCUGGAACCAUGGGCCAACAUCGACAUGGGGGAGAGACCACAGGGGCCCACAGGACCACUGCUGCAGGCUCAUUGCCACCUGCUGCUGGAGCCACCCAGAGGUGCCAGCUGUACCAGUGGCAAAGCCAGGAUGGGUAUUGGGGGCAGGGGCUGGCUAGGCACUGGCCCCAAGCUCACCAGAGGCCAUGGACACUGGGUGGAGCCAGAUGCUACCUGGCACAAGGAGCCCUGCUCUGAGCCAUGAGUCUCACUGUCCC